CAGUCGCCGCGGUAAUACGUAGGUGGCAAGCGUUGUCCGGAAUUAUUGGGCGUAAAGGGCCCGCAGGCGGUUUCUUAAGUCUGAUGUGAAAGCCCCCGGCUCAACCGGGGAGGGUCAUUGGAAACUGGGAAACUUGAGUGCAGAAGAGGAGAGUGGAAUUCCACGUGUAGCGGUGAAAUGCGUAGAGAUGUGGAGGAACACCAGUGGCGAAGGCGACUCUCUGGUCUGUAACUGACGCUGAGGAGCGAAAGCGUGGGGAGCGAACAGGAUUAGAUACCCCCGUAGUCCCUGUCUCUUAUAC
rnacentral:rRNA from 1 species